UAAGCCCCGGUUUCCGUACGAUCAUCAAAGUUAAGCGACGUCGAGUCUGGUCAGUACUUAGAUGGGUGACCGCUUGGGAAUACAAUACCAGGUGAUG